GACAGAGGGUGCAAACGUUGCUCGGAAUUACUGGGCGUAAAGCGCGUGUAGGCGGCCAGGUAGGUCCGUUGUGAAAACUCGAGGCUCAACCUCGAGAGGUCAUCGGAAACCAUCUGGCUAGAGUCCGGAAGAGGAGAGUGGAAUUCCCGGUGUAGCGGUGAAAUGCGCAGAUAUCGGGAAGAACACCUAUGGCGAAGGCAGCUCUCUGGGACGGUACUGACGCUGAGACGCGAAAGCGUGGGGAGCGGACAGG
rnacentral:rRNA from 1 species